GCCAGGUGUGCUGGUGGUGCCUGUAGCCUCCCAGCUACUCAGCAGCUGAGGCGAGAAGAUCGCAUAAGCCCAAGAGUUUGGGGCUGUAGUGCACUCUGCCGGCCUAGUGUUUGGUAUGCCACACUAAGUGUGGUAUCAAUCUGUUGACCUGGGAGUGGGGACUACCAGCUUGUCUAAGGAGGGGUGAACCGGACCAGGUUGGAAACUGAGCAGGUUAAAACUCCUGUGCUGGUCAGUAGUGCGUGGCGCCUGUGAACAGCCACUGCACUCAAGCCUGCACAACACAGAGACCCUCUCUCUU
rnacentral:SRP_RNA from 1 species